rnacentral:rRNA from 1 species
AUACGGAGGAUCCGAGCGUUAUCCGGAUUUAUUGGGUUUAAAGGGUGCGCAGGCGGCCAUUUAAGUCAGCGGUUAAAUCGUGGGGCUCAACCCCAUUCUGCCGUUGAUACUGGGUGGCUUGAUUGCGGUCGGGGUGGGCGGAAUUCGUUGUGUAGCGGUGAAAUGCAGCGAUAUGACGAAGAACACCGAUUGCGUAGGCAGCUGACCAGAUCGCAAACGACGCUCAUGCACGAAAGUGCGGGGAUCGAACAGGAUUAGAUACCCUGGUAGUCCGCACAGUAAACGAUGAAUACUUGUUUUCGGCGAUAUAAUGUCGGAGGCAAAGCGAAAGCGAUAAGUAUUCCACCUGGGGAGUACGCCGGCAACGGUGAAACUCAAAGGAAUUGACGGGG